CAAAAGAACAGCAACAAUAACAACAGCAACAAGCAGGGAAACUGAUGGACUAGGUAGUACCUACUAUUGGGAAAGAAAAUGUUGAAGAACGAAUAGUUCAAAGCAGGACGUUGAGUCAUUAGCCGAAACUCAAUUAGGGAAAUUAGGAAAAUUUCAGGCUAAUCAUAGCUCUCACUCUAGCCACCCUCUAUAUCCUCUUCCAACCGAUGGGAGAUGCUGCAUAAUGCGUGAUAAUAAUGGAAAUAUUCAC
rnacentral:lncRNA from 1 species